rnacentral:tRNA from 1 species
GCCGAGGUGGCGGAAUUGGUAGACGCGGCGGAUUCAAAAUCCGCUUCUGGAAACAGAGUGGGGGUUCGAUUCCCCCCCCCGGCA